rnacentral:rRNA from 1 species
UGGAAGUAAAAGUCGUAAUCAAGGUCUCCGUUGGUGAACCAGCGGAGGGAUCAUUACCGAGUUUACAACUCCCAAACCCAAUGUGAACGUUACCAAACUGUUGCCUCGGCGGGAUCUCUGCCCCGGGUGCGUCGCAGCCCCGGACCAAGGCGCCCGCCGGAGGACCAACCAAAAACUCUUUUGUAUACCCCCUCGCGGGUUUUUUAUAUCUGAGCCAUCUCGGCGCCUCUCGUAGGCGUUUCGAAAAUGAAUCAAAACUUUCAACAACGGAUCUCUUGGUUCUGGCAUCGAUGAAGAACGCAGCGAAAUGCGAUAAGUAAUGUGAAUUGCAGAAUUCAGUGAAUCAUCGAAUCUUUGAACGCACAUUGCGCCCGCCAGUAUUCUGGCGGGCAUGCCUGUCCGAGCGUCAUUUCAACCCUCGAACCCCUCCGGGGGGUCGGCGUUGGGGAUCGGCCCUUUACGGGGCCGGCCCCGAAAUACAGUGGCGGUCUCGCCGCAGCCUCUCCUGCGCAGUAGUUUGCACACUCGCAUCGGGAGCGCGGCGCGUCCAUUGCCGUAAAACACCCAACUUUCUGAAAUGUUGACCUCGGAUCAGGUAGGAAUACCCGCUGAACUUAAGCAUAUCAAUAAGCGGAGG